ACAACAAAAGAUUAACACACGGAAGUUCUUCAAGUUUCUUCGCGAGCCAGGUGGCUCAAAGCUUACGACCUCUCAAAGCUUAUUCGUAGACAUCACAAAUGUUCUUCAACACUCACAAAUUUGAAGGAGAAGAUCGAUCCAGAAACAACACGGAGCCCAGUAAAAAGAUUUACUGGAGCGUUUAAAUGGCCUUUGAGGCAGGCAGAGGUAGCUGAGAUAAAUAGUUAUAUUGGGGGCUACAAAUCAUUAUUCAAUUUGGCUCUUCAAGUUGAUCAGUCGUAGGAGGAUCACCGGCCUUAUCAACCGAAAAAUCGAUCUAGAUAAAUUGCAGAUCGCAAAAGGUGCAGCAUUUGAUUCUUAUGGGAUUCAGCAUGAUGAAUGCCUCCAAGGAACCCGUAAAGAGCUGCUUCAGGAAAUCGACCACUGGGUGGAAUCACCGAACGGAAAAUGCAUAUUCUGGCUGAAUGGCAUAGCAGGGACUGGAAAGUCAACGAUCUCACGAACAGUUGAAAAGCAUCUUAAAAAGAGAGGUUCACUUGGUGCAAGUUUCUUCUUUAAACGGGGUGGAGAAGACCGAGGGCGUACUAGGAAACUUUUCUCAACACUCGCUGAGCAAUUAGUAACCAGCCUACCUGUACAGAUCUGUAUUGACCCCUUACAUCCAAAAAGCAAUCGAGGCCGACCCCUAUAUUUCAAACAAAUCACUCAGAGAACAAUUCGAAAAGCUUGUUCGUCAGCCACUGCAUGAAAUGGAACAGGGCCACGCUGUGCGCAUGGUGAUUGUUAUCGACGCACUGGAUGAAUGCGAGCGUGAAGAUGAUGUACGAGAUAUUCUUCGACUCUUACCACGGGCCCAGGAGUCAAACUCAGUACAAGUACGGGUUUUUUUUUUUUUUUUUUUUUUUUUUCAACGAGCAGACCUGAUUUGCCGAUCAGGCUUAGAUUUAAGGACAUCGCAGACGAUCAUCAGGACUUUAUACUACAUGAGAUCCCCGACUCUGUUAUCAAACGUGACAUAUCCUUGUUCCUGGAGCACAGGUUUUCAGAAAUCCGGCAAGAGUCCUCAAAAAGAGGAAUCAAGCUUUCCUUUGACUGGCCAGGAGGUAAUUGCGUCUCUAGUUACAAUGUCGGUUCCGUUGUCUAUCUUUGCAGCCACUAUGUGCCGCACAUUUGAAGAUCCUCAAUGGCACCCUCCGGAGAGUCUAAGAGAGAUCCUCUCACACCGGACUUGCAAUUCUGGCCUUGAUGGGACGAAUUUGCCUGUGCUUGAUCGACUUUUGAUCAAGCAGAGUGGGGUCAAGAGAAAAGAAUUGAUUGAAGAACAUCGAGGGAUGAUUGGGACAAUCAUCAUUCUUGAGUCUCCACUUCCGGUUGCUUCACUGUCGAGGCUCACUGGUAUUUCCAAAGAAUCGAUUCAUGUCAGGCUAGAGUUACUCCAUUCAGUUCUUUCUAUACCCAAUGACAAGACUAAACCGAUCAGACCAUUUCAUCUAUCAUUCCGAGACUUUCUACAUCAUCCGGACACACCUG
rnacentral:sRNA from 1 species